rnacentral:rRNA from 1 species
GAUGAACGCUAGCGGCAGGCCUAACACAUGCAAGUCGAGGGGUAGAAGCUUUCGGGCUUUGAGACCGGCGCACGGGUGCGUAACGCGUAUGCAAUCUGCCUUGUACUGAGGGAUAGCCCAGAGAAAUUUGGAUUAACACCUCAUAGUAUUUUUGCCUGGCAUCAGGUGAUUAUUAAAGGUUACGGUACAAGAUGAGCAUGCGUCCCAUUAGCUAGUUGGUAUGGUAACGGCAUACCAAGGCUACGAUGGGUAGGGGUCCUGAGAGGGAGAUCCCCCACACUGGUAAUGAGACACGGACCAGACUCCUACGGGAGGCAGCAGUGAGGAAUAUUGGUCAAUGGGCGCAAGCCUGAACCAGCCAUGCCGCGUGCAGGAUGAAGCAUCUAUGGUGUGUAAACUGCUUUUGUACGGGAAGAAACACUGCUACGUGUAGCAGCUUGACGGUACCGUAAGAAUAAGGAUCGGCUAACUCCGUGCCAGCCGCCGCCGUAACAC